UGACUUUGACACAUGGGGAGGUGAUCAACUACUUUGAGUUGUCUUCAAAACAAAAACAUGAUCUGGAGAGGGGGAAGGUAGAGCUAGCCAUAGAGAGGAGAUAUUGCUGGUUGAAGAUGAUGAUGAUGAUUGUUGAUAUCUGGUCAACAGAUGAUAGAUUCCUCCCUUAGACGUGACAGAGAAAGCUCCCGCUCCGGUACUGAAAUCUGGGCCCUUAUGCUUCCCUGCACAAAGUUGUUCGAACGGGUUGUUCAGACACACCCUCCGAAGCUUAAGUCAGACAUUAAGGAGAAUGAAAACCUUUGGGGACACUGGAAGCAUAAGGCCCAGAUUCCAGUACUGGAGCGAGAGCUUUCUUUGUCAUAUCUAAGGGGGGAAUCCAUCCUCAGUUGACUAGGUAUCCGAACAUUUUGGAUAGAAAAAAAAAAGUUUUAACAAAAAAAAAUGUACUUAGUGUAUAAGACAUCAUAUGUAAUAUACUAAAAUACUACCUUGUAAUAAGAUGAAUAUGCCUCAUUGAUGUGAUGAGAUCAUGCUUAAAUGUAUGCAAUGAAUGGUUGUGAAAAAAUGAAAAUGAUGGUGGAUUUGAAGUAAAUCAA